AGAGUUUGAUCAUGGCUCAGAUUGAACGCUGGCGGCAGGCCUAACACAUGCAAGUCGAGCGGUAGCACAGAGAGCUUGCUCUCGGGUGACGAGCGGCGGACGGGUGAGUAAUGUCUGGGAAACUGCCUGAUGGAGGGGGAUAACUACUGGAAACGGUAGCUAAUACCGCAUAANGUCGCAAGACCAAAGUGGGGGACCUUCGGGCCUCAUGCCAUCAGAUGUGCCCAGAUGGGAUUAGCUAGUAGGUGGGGUAACGGCUCACCUAGGCGACGAUCCCUAGCUGGUCUGAGAGGAUGACCAGCCACACUGGAACUGAGACACGGUCCAGACUCCUACGGGAGGCAGCAGUGGGGAAUAUUGCACAAUGGGCGCAAGCCUGAUGCAGCCAUGCCGCGUGUGUGAAGAAGGCCUUCGGGUUGUAAAGCACUUUCAGCGGGGAGGAAGGCGUUAAGGUUAAUAACCUUGGCGAUUGACGUUACCCGCAGAAGAAGCACCGGCUAACUCCGUGCCAGCAGCCGCGGUAAUACGGAGGGUGCAAGCGUUAAUCGGAAUUACUGGGCGUAAAGCGCACGCAGGCGGUCUGUCAAGUCGGAUGUGAAAUCCCCGGGCUCAACCUGGGAACUGCAUUCGAAACUGGCAGGCUAGAGUCUUGUAGAGGGGGGUAGAAUUCCAGGUGUAGCGGUGAAAUGCGUAGAGAUCUGGAGGAAUACCGGUGGCGAAGGCGGCCCCCUGGACAAAGACUGACGCUCAGGUGCGAAAGCGUGGGGAGCAAACAGGAUUAGAUACCCUGGUAGUCCACGCCGUAAACGAUGUCGAUUUGGAGGUUGUGCCCUUGAGGCGUGGCUUCCGGAGCUAACGCGUUAAAUCGACCGCCUGGGGAGUACGGCCGCAAGGUUAAAACUCAAAUGAAUUGACGGGGGCCCGCACAAGCGGUGGAGCAUGUGGUUUAAUUCGAUGCAACGCGAAGAACCUUACCUGGUCUUGACAUCCACAGAACUUNNNNNNUUGGUGCCUUCGGGAACUGUGAGACAGGUGCUGCAUGGCUGUCGUCAGCUCGUGUUGUGAAAUGUUGGGUUAAGUCCCGCAACGAGCGCAACCCUUAUCCUUUGUUGCCAGCGGUCCGGCCGGGAACUCAAAGGAGACUGCCAGUGAUAAACUGGAGGAAGGUGGGGAUGACGUCAAGUCAUCAUGGCCCUUACGACCAGGGCUACACACGUGCUACAAUGGCAUAUACAAAGAGAAGCGACCUCGCGAGAGCAAGCGGACCUCAUAAAGUAUGUCGUAGUCCGGAUUGGAGUCUGCAACUCGACUCCAUGAAGUCGGAAUCGCUAGUAAUCGUAGAUCAGAAUGCUACGGUGAAUACGUUCCCGGGCCUUGUACACACCGCCCGUCACACCAUGGGAGUGGGUUGCAAAAGAAGUAGGUAGCUUAACCUUCGGGAGGGCGCUUACCACUUUGUGAUUCAUGACUGGGGUGAAGUCGUAACAAGGUAACCGUAGGGGAACCUGCGGUUGGAUCACCU
rnacentral:rRNA from 1 species